rnacentral:rRNA from 1 species
UGUAGCAGUGAGGAAUAUUGGUCAAUAGCCUAACGGCUGAACCAGCAACUUGGAGGGGUGAAUAGGGAAAACCGGUAAAAAGGUAAUGUACCUAUGAUAUUGGUAAUAAAACUGGUAUUAUGUUAACAAAGUUAAUUAAAGUUCAAAGUAAGUAUUGAUUAUGACAGUAUUUACUGAUGUCUUGACUAAGUCACGUGCCAGCAGUCGCGGUAAUACGUGGAAGAUAAGUGUUAUUCAUCUUUAAUAGGUUUAAAGGGUACCUAGACGGUUAGCAAAACACAAAAAUGUAUUUUUUAACUAGAGUUUAAUGUAAGAAAGAUUGAGUACGGUGAGUGUAGAGAUAUAAUUUUAUGAUACCACUUCGGAACUGGUAAAGGCGAAGGCAACUUUCUAUGUAAAAACUGACGUUGAAGGACGAAGG